AGUGAACGCUGGCGGUAGGCCUAACACAUGCAAGUCGAACGGCAGCACAGUAAGAGCUUGCUCUUACGGGUGGCGAGUGGCGGACGGGUGAGGAAUACAUCGGAAUCUACUUUUUCGUGGGGGAUAACGUAGGGAAACUUACGCUAAUACCGCAUACGACCUACGGGUGAAAGCAGGGGAUCUUCGGACCUUGCGCGAUUGAAUGAGCCGAUGUCGGAUUAGCUAGUUGGCGGGGUAAAGGCCCACCAAGGCGACGAUCCGUAGCUGGUCUGAGAGGAUGAUCAGCCACACUGGAACUGAGACACGGUCCAGACUCCUACGGGAGGCAGCAGUGGGGAAUAUUGGACAAUGGGCGCAAGCCUGAUCCAGCCAUACCGCGUGGGUGAAGAAGGCCUUCGGGUUGUAAAGCCCUUUUGUUGGGAAAGAAAAGCAGCAGGUUAAUACCCCGCUGUUCUGACGGUACCCAAAGAAUAAGCACAGGCUAACUUCGUG
rnacentral:rRNA from 1 species